ACUCCUACGGGAGGCAGCAGUAGGGAAUCUUCCACAAUGGGCGCAAGCCUGAUGGAGCAACACCGCGUGAGUGAAGAAGGGUUUCGGCUCGUAAAGCUCUGUUGUUAAAGAAGAACACGUAUGAGAGUAACUGUUCAUACGUUGACGGUAUUUAACCAGAAAGUCACGGCUAACUACGUGCCAGCAGCCGCGGUAAUACGUAGGUGGCAAGCGUUAUCCGGAUUUAUUGGGCGUAAAAAGAGUGCAGGCGGUUUUCUAAGUCUGAUGUGAAAGCCUUCGGCUUAACCGGAGAAGUGCAUCGGAAACUGGAUAACUUGAGUGCAGAAGAGGGUAGUGGAACUCCAUGUGUAGCGGUGGAAUGCGUAGAUAUAUGGAAGAACACCAGUGGCGAAGGCGGCUACCUGGUCUGCAACUGACGCUGAGACUCGAAAGCAUGGGUAGCGAACAGGAUUAGAUACCCUGGUAGGAUAGCG
rnacentral:rRNA from 1 species